ensembl:lncRNA novel transcript
GGCAUCACCUGGGCACACUGUCUCUCCAGGGCACCUCCCUACCCUGGCUGGGCCUCCACUUUCCCUUCUCUAAUAUGGGCACUCAGGGCCCGGGGUCAUCUUUUCUGCAGGAAGCUCACCCACCAGACUCCCACAUUGCCUAGCAGCUGGGGUUGGAGCCCAAGGCUUCACUCUCCUCUCCCCACCACCCCAUGCUAGGCCCAAGGGCAGCACCACAAAGGGGCACUGCCAGGCGCCUCCACCCCAGACACUUGUGAGGGCUCCAGGACACCAGGUCUGGCACAUUCCCAUCCUGGGGACCUAACAGGCUAGCAGGCGAGGCAGACAGUUGGCCAGUUAGCUCCAGUCCUAGGUAGAUGGAGAAUGGCCUUUCCGAGAGGUCCCAGCAGGAGGAUGUGACAAUGGAGGGACAAAGCAGAGGCUUCCGGCCCUCGCUGGUCUCCUGUGCUCCAAGACAUCUUCCACAAAGGAUUUCCUGGACUCCCCCCCAACACUUGUGCAAAGCCAAGUCUACUCUGGGUAAGGAAGACAUGAUUCCCACCAAGCAACAGUGAGGGCCUCCCUCUCCUAGCACUCUAGAUGCAAAGCUGUUGGCCAACAUCCCUCAGUAAACGGAGGACAUAGAAAACAAUGUCAGCUCCUGGCACUGCAGACUCCCUUGCUCUAGGCAUGGAUUCUUCUGAUUUCAGAGACUGUUUCCAGCAUAAUGGUCCCUCACGCUACCCCUUCCAUGGCCUCUGACCAUCAGCCUUCCAAAUCUAAAGGUGAACAUUUAUUCUUUCCCCCAAACCAUCCCGUAGCAACUGAGCCUGCUGAGACCUUGAUUCAGCCAUCUCUUCUCCCUCAAGGGCACAACUGAUCAGCAAGCCUUCUAUGUAUUCAUCCUGGUUGCAUAUUUAGAAAAUAAAUGGACCGGCCAAUCACAGAGGCCUGCCCUUUAGGCUGCUGCUGAACCUCACUCACUGGGGUGUGGCUGCAGAAGCUACCAUCUGAACCACAUGCAUCCACCUUGUCCAUGAGGACAUUGUGAGAUUUCACCCAGUAUCUUCUGGAAUCCAGGUGAUGCGGCCGGCCAACAGCACGUCUUGUACUACUAACCAGUCACCCUGCUGGAAGAGGAACUGGGGUGGAUGGAGUGCUUUUCAAA